UAGUUCAGCACUAAGUCACUUUGUCUUAAUGGCAAAUGUGAGAUGCAGUGUAUGGAAUGUCAAAUUUCUAGUAUGAGAAAUUAACGAUUUAAGUCCUUCUUAAAUGAGGCCAUUUACCCAAAGAGGGUGCCAGGCCCGUAUAACGUUAAUGAUUACUAGAUGGCAUUUCCAAAGAGUCGUGUUGCUUGAUAGUGCAGCACUAAGUGGGUGGUAAACUCCAUCUAAAACUAAAUAUAACCAUGAGACCGAUAGUAAACAAGUACCGUGAGGGAAAGUUGAAAAGAACUCUGAAUAGAGAGUUAAAUAGUACGUGAAACUGCUUAGAGGUUAAGCCCGAUGAACCUGAAUAUCCAUUAUAGAAAAUUCAUCAUUAUGAUUUUAAUAUUUAUAAUAUUAUAAUAAUGGUGUGCAUUUUUUCUAUAAAAGGACAUUGUAAUCUAUUAACAUCAAAUAUUUAUCAAAAGAUCAAUUGCAAAAGUUUAUUCAAAUUAUUUUGCUUGCAAUUUAACAUAGAAUAAAUGCUUUUGAUUUGAUAAAGUGUUGAUAGAUUUAUUAUAUAUAGUGCUUGAAUAUUUAUAUUCUAUAAUAGCAUAUUAAUCAUUGAUUUUUAUGUUUAUUAUAUGCACUUAUAUGAUUAACAAUGCGAAAGAUUCAGGAUACCUUCGGGACCCGUCUUGAAACACGGACCAAGGAGUCUAACAUAUUUGCAAGUUAUUGGGAAUAAAAACCUAAUAGCGAAAUUAACAUAACUUAUUUAAUGGGAUUAAUUUUUAGCCUAUUUAUAGUCUAUUAAUUCAAUCCCGGGGCGUUCUAUACAGUUAUGUAUAAUAAUAUUUAUAUUAUUUAUACCUCUAACUAGAGCGUACCUUGAGCAUAUAUGCUGUGACCCGAAAGAUGGUGAACUAUACUUGAUCAGGUUGAAGUCAGGGGAAACCCUGAUGGAAGACCGAAACAGUUCUGACGUGCAAAUCGA
rnacentral:rRNA from 1 species